ACUACGGGAGGCAGCAGUGAGGAAUAUUGGUCAAUGGGCGGAAGCCUGAACCAGUCAAGUAGCGUGCAGGAUGACGGCCCUACGGGUUGUAAACUGCUUUUAUACGGGAAUAACGCGCCUUACGUGUAGGGCUUUGCAUGUACCGUAUGAAUAAGGACCGGCUAAUUCCGUGCCAGCAGCCGCGGUAAUACGGAAGGUCCGGGCGUUCUCCGGAGUUAUUGGGUUUAAAGGGAGCGUAGGCCGCAUGUCAAGCGUGCGGUGAAAUGUCCGGGCGCAACCCGGGCCUUGCAGCGCGAACUGGCGUGCUUGAGUCCGCGGAAAGCAGGCGGAAUUCGUCGUGUAGCGGUGAAAUGCUUAGAUAUGACGAAGAACCCCGAUUGCGAAGGCAGCCUGCUGCAGCGGAACUGACGCUGAUGCUCGAAAGCGCGGGUAUCGAACAGGAUUAGAUACCCUAGUAGUC
rnacentral:rRNA from 1 species